UAGGGAAUCUUCGGCAAUGGACGAAAGUCUGACCGAGCAACGCCGCGUGAGUGAAGAAGGUUUUCGGAUCGUAAAACUCUGUUGUUAGAGAAGAACAAGGACGUUAGUAACUGAACGUCCCCUGACGGUAUCUAACCAGAAAGCCACGGCUAACUACGUGCCAGCAGCCGCGGUAAUACGUAGGUGGCAAGCGUUGUCCGGAUUUAUUGGGCGUAAAGCGAGCGCAGGCGGUUUCUUAAGUCUGAUGUGAAAGCCCCCGGCUCAACCGGGGAGGGUCAUUGGAAACUGUGAGACUUGAGUGCAGAAGAGGAGAGUGGAAUUCCAUGUGUAGCGGUGAAAUGCGUAGUUAUAUGGAGGAACCCCAGUGGCGAAGGCGGCUCUCUGGUCUGUAACUGACGCUGAGGCUCGAAAGCGUGGGGAGCAAACAGG
rnacentral:rRNA from 1 species